rnacentral:rRNA from 1 species
GAUGAACGCUGGCGGCGUGCUUAACACAUGCAAGUCGAACGAUGAAGCCCAGCUUGCUGGGUGUAUUAGUGGGGAACGCGUGAGUAACACGCGAGUAAACCGCCCCCAACACUGGGAUAAGCCUGGGGAAAUGGGUCUCUAACAGCGGAGACGAGUCCACCCUACGGGGGGUGUUGGAGAGAUUUAUCGGUUUUGGAUGGACUCGCGGCCUAUCAGCUUGUUGGUGUGGUAAUGGCUCACCAAGGCGACGACGGGUAGCCGGCCUGAGAGGGUGACCGGCCACACUGGGACUGAGACACGGCCCAGACUCCUACGGGAGGCAGCAGUGGGGAAUAUUGCACAAUGGGCGCAAGCCUGAUGCAGCGACGCCGCGUGAGGGAUGACGGCCUUCGGGUUGUAAACCUCUUUCAGUAGGGAAGAAGCGAAAGUGACGGUACCUGCAGAAGAAGCACCGGCUAACUACGUG